rnacentral:rRNA from 1 species
AUGCCCAGGUCAGCCAGCAGCGGCUCCAUGUCCGCGACGCACUUCUUGUCGUGGAGGUAUGCCAGGCCUCUCGCCACGCCGCGUGCUCCACCCGAGGUUCAUCGACAGUGUCCCCGGCUCCAGCAGCAAACAGGGCGCGACGCCGGAGCUGGACAAGUGAACCGCCGCGUCCACUUCCACAGCUGCAGGUAUGUACAACUUCAACACAAAUUGGUCAUGCUGCUCACUGAGAAGAUGUUGGAGAAAUUGAUAGAGUUUACAGAGGCCGCCGCUGAGGAGGUACUAGUGCCGCAUGGAAGUCAUGAAUUCACACUGGCUGAGAUCGUGGCUGCCACCAAUAACUUCGCCCGUGACACCCUGAUCGGUUCCGGCAGCUCUGGAAGGGUGUACAGGGGAAGGCUUCACGAUGGGCGAGAGGUGGCCAUCAAGCGCAUGUGGAAACAAGAGUCAAAAUUCCAUUACAAAUUACAGGAAGAGUUCCGCACAGAGGUCGACAUCCUCUCACGGCUCCAACACAAGCACAUCAUCCGCCUCCUUGGAUCGUGUAUGAGCCAGCAAACCGCCCUGCAAAAGGAAAAGAGGGGUCUACUAACCAGGUGGAGAAAGGAGCCGGAGGAGUUGAUCGUCUACGAAUACAUGACGAAUGGCACGCUCUUCGACCACCUUCACCCUGAUCAGCGCUCCACCGCGCUGUCGCCGGUGACCAUGUCAUGGAAGAUGCGCAUCGAUGUGCUUCUGGGUGUGUCCCGCGCCAUUGAGCACCUGCACUGUCAUCAUGCCCAGUUCCCGAUCAUCCACCGUGACAUCAAGUCGGCUAACAUCCUUUUGGACGCGAGUUGGUUGCCGCGUGUGUCUGACUUUGGUUUGUCGGUCACCUGGGACAUGGCGAAUGAUGAGACGGGGUUCAUUGUCCCUUACAUCGCUCGCAGGCACAUACGGGAGCUGAAGGCCGACGGGCAGAUCUGUGAGGCGCAAGGGGUGGCGGCCGCGGAUGGUGUGUGUGUGUCUGAGCAGUCGACUGGCGAGAUGAAUCCUAAAGACCAUGGCUGGACCUGA